GCGCCGGGCGGCGGGGCCGCUCCCCCGGCUGCGGCUCUGCGGGCGGACGGGAGGCGACUACCGCGGCCACCGCUGCCUGCCCGCCGCUGCCCGCCGCUGCCCGCCGCUCUCCGGCGCCUGCCCGGCCGCGGCUCUCAGCUCGCCCCGCAGAGCCGGGCGGGUGCUGCGGCCGGGGAGCUCGGCAUCGCUAUUAGUGCUGCGCGGCGCGGCCCCGGCUCUCCGGUUUCAUUUCCUUUUUCCUGAUCACGAUUCAAAUACAAUAGAAGGAAAUCACGCUUAAAGAGACAGCUGCCCGUUUCUUAACUGGACUCCUGGGGGUUUAGCAACACAAACAGCGGCAUCACGACUCGCUCGGCUUCUUAAAGAGACAGAGCUCGGGCUCUCUGCAGCCGGGGUUGCGAGCUGACGCUGCGUUUUCACAUCGCGACGUCACGGAGCAGCACCGCACCGCUGCUCGGGGCUCCCGGGGAGGUGCGCGACCUGAAAGCAUCCGACGGGCUGAGGGAAACCUCGGCCGGCUCCGAGCUGUCGGCACCCCGGCCCCACGCGGAAUCACACGGGACGUCACGCUCCCUCUCCUCGUCCUUUCCAGCCCCUACACACGCCCUACACCACGCACAUUUCGCUACGGCACCUGGAGAUCGGGCGCUGGGUCAGAACUCGAGUGCUGUUUUCUACCUAGAGCGCAAAUCGGUCACCUAAACUGUGCUUCCCUUGUAUCUCGUUGUGUCCCAGAGUCACUGGUCGCUGGUGUCUGCUUCCAGAUGCCCCCGAGUUCUCGCUAAAAAGCAUGAAAGAUAAACAUCCUUUGAAUUCCUGACCCCUCUAUGAAAAUGAAUUACAAGAUGUGGAAACACUUUGAAACUGAUAGAAGUAUCUCUGCCUCAGAUCUCUCUCCCUCUCUGUCUGUUAAUCAAAACAAGGCACUGUAAUCAGCUCCGAUUCUAGGUCUAUCUGUAGGGAACAAAGUGAACUUAGAAAAUUAAAUCAUUUAGCAUUUCGCAUUUCCUUCCUCAUUUCAGCACCGAUUGAGCCUAUUUCACAAUUUCUCCCCCUUCUGCAGCUAUUCAGUGGCCUGCAAGGGCUGUCAGUGCUGUUGCAGAUCAGCAGCUUGGCAGGAAGACACCGACUGUUCCUGUUUGCUGGAGGGAUCACAGCUUCUAAAGAUUCCCUUUUAGACUCAGAGGUUUGUUUGCUGCCUUCUUGACGUCUGGUUUCCUGUUUUCCUUGCUACCUGCUGAGCAGGAGACUUGGGACAGACCUAAGUGGGGAACAGUUUGCUGUGCUAUUAUAUCCUACCAGCAAAAUACGUGAUUUUCUAGCUGUACCUUAAACCUUAAGCUUCUUCUGGAAGAG
rnacentral:lncRNA from 1 species